CUACGGGGCGCUGCAGUGGGGAAUAUUGCACAAUGGGCGCAAGCCUGAUGCAGCCAUGCCGCGUGUAUGAAGAAGGCCUUCGGGUUGUAAAGUACUUUCAGCGGGGAGGAAGGGAGUAAAGUUAAUACCUUUGCUCAUUGACGUUACCCGCAGAAGAAGCACCGGCGAACUCGGUGCCAGCAGCCGCGGUAAUACGGAGGGUGCAAGCGUUAAUCGGAAUUACUGGGCGUAAAGCGCACGCAGGCGGUUUGUUAAGUCAGAUGUGAAAUCCCCGGGCUCAGCCUGGGAACUGCAUCUGAUACUGGCAAGCUUGAGUCUCGUAGAGGGGGGUAGAAUUCCAGGUGUAGCGGUGAAAUGCGCAGAGAUCUGGAGGAAUACCGGUGGCGAAGGCGGCCCCCUGGACGAAGACUGACGCUCAGGUGCGAAAGCGUGGGGAGCAAACAGGAUUAGAUACCCCCGUAGUC
rnacentral:rRNA from 1 species